GGGUCGGUGCCCGAGUGGUUAAUGGGGGCGGACUGUAAAUCCGCUGGCAAAGCCUACGUUGGUUCAAAUCCAACCCGGCCCA
rnacentral:tRNA from 2 species